rnacentral:lncRNA from 1 species
AGGCAGUCCCCACCCUUAUCCGACCUUACCUGCACCCAUCUCCUCUAGAUCUCUGCCCCAACCUUGCAGGAACUUGAGCGUGGUGCCGCCUCUGGCCGAAUCCAGUUUCCCUUGGGACAGGGGGGAGCCCUGGAGUGACUGAGAGGAAACACACAGAGCCAGGUCAGUGCCAGAUACAGUCAGGACACAUGCACAUCAUGCACGGCUCAGCACUGUCCCAGGCUCCCGACAGCACAGAGGUGACUGCCAAGAGCCACACUGGGUGCCUCACAUGCCGUGUGUCUUGCUGAUCUUUCCCAACAGCCUCAGGAGGCGGCUAUUAUCAUCACCAGCCCAAUUUAUGCUCAGAGAGAGCAAGUAACUAUCCCAAGGUCACACAGCUGAUGAAUGAUCUCAUGAGACAGGGAUCCCAGGUCAGGCAGCCUGUGUCUAGAGUCCACCCAUGCCACCCUCUGGGGCAAGGCUGCACAUGGCCCCUGCACCCCACCCACUCCACUGCAGCCUCAGCCAGGCCCAGCCCCACUCAUUCCUAGAGUACUAGUGGGUUGCUGCCUGCACAGUGCCCUGGGUUUAGUGGGGAUCUUCGAGUGUUAGCAGACAGGGAAGAGGGAGGAGGGAAAUGGUGAUGGAUGGUGGAGGGAAGAUGGGUGGUGGAGAUGGUAGAAGGUGGAAGCCGGAACCCAGCCCCUGGCUGGGGCUGGACAGCUGCUUUUCUCCUAGAGGGCAGCCGCCAGGGGGGCACUGAACGCCGUAGCCCCGGGCAGUGGUGCCAGGGCCUCUCCUCCAGGCCUGGAGUGCCCAGACUGGCUGCAGAACCAGUGGGGCCAGACCCAGCCUGACCAGCCUCCUCCCCUGCAGUCUGCCCUUGCACUCCAGCCAAGGUCAUUUUGCCCAACCUGACUACCAGACAGCCCCUCCUUGGUCCAGAGCCAGGCAUUCAAACCACAACCCUCCAGACGAAUGGGGCUUCUGACCCAGGCUGCUCUCCAGUUAGCUGUGUGUCUUCUGCUAAGCUGCCUCCCCUCUCUGGGCUUUCAUUUCCUUAUCUGUAAAAUGGGAACCACAACAGACUGGUCCGGGUCGACCAAACCCACAUCCAGCGUGACUUCGCUGUUCAUGUUACCUUUCUGGCCUUUCCUAUGGCUGUGAAGACCCCAGGAGCUUGUCUGCCUGGGAGACCUCUAGCCCCGCCAGGCCGAGCCUCUGGGGCCGCAGGUUGGGGGCUGGAGGCAGAGGCAGGACCCAGGAGCCAGCUGCAGCCCUCAGCCUGCUCCGCCCCCACCUGGCUCCUCUGCCUCCUUCCCUAAUUGCAGGGUUGCUAGACGCCAGCUGCCUCCGGGGCCCCAGGCGGGCGCCUCCCAAUGGAGCAGGGGCUCCCUGGACAGCUUCCCCUGCC